GGGCUCAAUCAGACGUUUCUGUAAAGAUCACCCUGUACUCCAACCGAGUACCUUCCGUUGAUGGACGCUUCCUAGGUUGUGCCGAGGACCACAAGCACCGCAACGGACACCACAACCACUGCAGACUCCACAACCGCCAUAGCUUAACUGGAGUCUCGCUGUCUUCCUUCCACCCUGGAUCAGCUUCUGUCCUACAGGACCAUGUGGGG